GUGUAAGGUUUAAAGCAUGGGGGUGUUCUUUCUCUGUUGGGAUAUUUUUGCAGCUUUUUAUUUCACUGGAAUAGACUAGCUGAUAUUGACGUAGUCUCUGUGGGAUUCUUUUGCAACACUUGAGGAAUGAUGCUUUCAUUGAAAGAAUGGAAGUGCCAGCAGUGAGACUAAGUACAUUGCUGGUAGCCACAGCAACAACGAAGCAAAAGCUGGACUCUUAUGAUUGGUAGCUGCACAUCCAUGACUGGAACAAGGAAUGGUCUGAACUUUUCCUUAUCUAGUAAAGAUAACAUCCUGUACAUGCAGCACAAGACUGCAGGUUUCAGCUCCUUAUUGCAGGAUAAAAUAUAAAACAGAGCAGAAUGGGGAAGGAGCAAUAAAAAUAGCACGAAACUAAAACCCAGAAUAGUUCAUCCUUUGAGGCUUCCUGGGUUCCCUGGAUGUGUGAGUGAAUCCCAUUCUUUACAGUGAGGACAGGUGAGGGAUGAGCACUAGUGAAGGAAGCUUCCUUAUCGUGCCUUAUUACUGAGUCUGAGUUUUGAGUUGGAGAGAUCACCUCUUCAAAAACUCAGGCUCAAAAGGUACUUCAUUAGCCUCUGUGCUGAGAUUGCCAGUGAGUGCCAAUUAGUUCCAGGAGGUGUUUGUUGCUGUAAUAGGAAUUUAGAAAUUCCUUCUCUGAUAGGAAUGGUAAUGACUGCAGGAUAACACUGUCAGGGCUAGGCUCACUAGGUCUCAUGUAUAUUGCCUUGGCUGAAUGCUUAGUAAUUUUGUAAAUUGUGGUAAGUCACAGUAUUUGGACUACAUGCAGAUCUCUGUUUCACCUGUGAUGUGUCUGAGUCAGCUUUCUGUAAAUAAUACGUGCUUCCUGAUCAGUCUGUCCUUUGAUUUCUGUAAUCAUCAUUUUGCCUAUUAUCUCAUUGCAACCAUACUGAAUAAACUCUGGACUGUUUUCAGAUUUCUGUAAUUAAUUGCUCUGAUUCUGCAGAGUGUUAUUGAAUGUGUUUAUUUGCUUUAUAUUGAAUUUUACUGAAUUUUUAUAUUAAUGGA